GUAAGAUCUGUACCUAUUUAAUCUGAGGCUCUCUAGCUCUUUGGUUAUUGGUUUGUACUUUUAACAGCUCUUGUAAAGAAACUUAAAUGAAAUAACUUAAUAUUGAGCUUUUAAACCUUAUAGCAUGUGAAAAUCCUGGCAGGCUUACAUUUUGUUUGAAGGAUUGUUUGUCAUUGUCAAUCCCAUUGUUGCUUUCUUAGUGUUAUUUGUGGAUAAAGGCCAUUAUUUUGCUGAACUGAUUCCAAUUAUGCUUAUUUUACAUUGCAUUUUCAAAACCCCAAGUAAUUAGUCACCAGGCUCCCUGAAUUGCUGUGCUUCCACUGGGUUUGGGUAGUGAAGGGAAAAGAGUAGAGCAGGAGGGUGCUCUGUAAGCAAAUUGAUUAGUUUAUAAUUAAUAUUUUGCAUUACUUGCA
rnacentral:misc_RNA from 1 species